rnacentral:lncRNA from 1 species
GCACAUAAAGAAAUUUGAAGAAAUUUGAUAAAAAUGAAAUUACAAGGAUAAAAUUAACAAAAUUAAAACUUUAGAGACCAAAAUAGUACAAUCGACAAACUACAGGACCGAAAGUACACUUUUGCCAAAUCUAACAACGCUAUGCUCGUUUGAAAUCUCGGCCGAUCAAAAGCAACGACUUCUUCCAUGAAAAAAUGAGACAGUCGAGAAAUUAUCAUUGACGGCGUCGCCACCCCACCUUCGCCCCUCAACCACCGCCAACCACAACCCACACAUACUCUCUCUCUCUCUCUCUCUCUCUCUCCAGGUGAGCUCUUACAUCUUCCUCCUCACCUUUCUCUUUUCGAUAGAAUUUUCUGUUUACAGGCUGUGCUUUUGAUUUGGGGGUCUUUGGAGGUUGGUUUUUGGUUACUAAUUUUCGGUUUCAGGGUUUUUGGAUGUUUUUUUUCGGUUACUAAUUAGAUAGGACUGUGAUAAAUUGAACCUGAAGCCCAUGUUUGGUUAGAAAGGGGACUAAUUUAAAUGGGAUUGUAUACAGAGAAAUAAGCGCUUCGCUAUAUUGAACACGCGACUCCGCCUCUCUCUCUGGUUCGCGACUUCGCCCUCUCUCUCGUUCGCGACUCCACCUCUUCUUCGUUCAACAUCGACUCCUCUUCUUCGAAUCUUGACCCAGGCAAGUUUUUCUGGUCUUUCCCUUUGUUUACCUCUCUUUUCCUUCUUCCACCUCUUUGAUUUUUGCAAUUAUCCUCAACAAUUUUGACUGUGUGCUCUGAAUCUCUCCUUCCUUUUCUCUGUUUUUUGCUUCUUCUCUUCUCUAAUUUUCGUGGAAUCCAUAUCUACUGUAGCGACAUAUAUAUGGGUACUGGCUUAUUGUUGGAUGUGUGUUUGUAUCCAUCUUCUAAUAAUGAAAUCUGUUUCGACUUUUACUUCAGUUCUUCUCCUUUUUUUGUUUUUUGUUUUUGUGGAAUGGGUGGAUGCUGAUGGAAGCUGAGCUUUUCAGUUAUGGCUACUACUUC